rnacentral:antisense_RNA from 1 species
AACUUGUUGGGGGGAAAUUAUUGCAUGCAAACAGAGGCAUCAGAAGAGUAAAAAGUUGGGAAAUGAGAAAGGUAUGAAAAAAAUUGUUUUGAAUAUAAAAAAAAAAGUUAAAGCAAAUAAGUAUAUAUAUUUGAAAUUCACUGGAUAGCAUUACAUUCAAAAGGAGCCAAGAAGUUUUCAUAUGAAGUGUAGUUAAUUUUGGAGAGAUACAUUUGUGUGGCAGGUUUUCCAGUUUUUUGGAGUAGCUGGGGAAUAAGUUGUACAGGAAGGAAAACAAAGCUUUCCCCAUUGCUGAGAGACUUUAGAAGACCAAAUUCAUUGAAAGUCAUAAGAAUAUCAUUGCAUUCAAUUCUAGUCAUCUCACUUAACUGUUGGACGGUGAUAAACCUGGUAUUUGGGCAGCAUCCAAUGGAAGGACAAGAAGAUUUAUCAGAAUUUGCAUCUGAAUUCAUUUUUCUCUCUUUUUGUUUUGAAGAUCUGGUAGUCCUUUGAGUGGACUGAGUCUGAUGAAUAACAUCUUGGAAAUUACUUAUAGUUGCAGCUUGUUUCAGUAAUGAUUUCUCCUGAGGUUGGUCUUUUUGGGGUUUAUUCCAAAGAAUUACAUCUUGAGAGCCGUCCAUUAAAAGUUCUAGUAAAAUAUAGCCCCAAUAUGAUAUAUAAGAGACUCUACCAAGAUCUGAAAGUGGUCUUUCAGGAGAGCCUGGCUUUUGCUCAAGAUUUGAAAGGCAAUAUGAAAAGUUAAUUAAGUACUUUCCAUAGCCCUUUCGCUGAUAUUGAGGAAGAAUCAUUAUACAAGAAAGAUUAUUCUUGCUGAACUUUUCUUUUGAAAAAUAUCCAACAAUGUGAUAACCUUUAUCAUCGCAUUCAGUAAGGACAUAAAACAAGAAGAGAUGUACAGAGUUGUAUAAAGUUUUAUGAUCCAAGAAAAGCUUUGAAAGGAAGCAUAGAUUUUCGCAAUAAACUCUGGCAAGCCUUCCAUCAACUUCAAACAUGGAAAGUCCAUCUUGUCUAAUAAGCUCGUUUCCAGGGGGAUAGAACAUAAUGCAACAUCUCUGAUGUCUAGUAUAUUCAUCUGAAUGAGCAAAGAAUGAGAGGCAAAAUUCGCAUAUAUAUAAAAUAUCAACAUUCUGUACCUCCUUAGGGUAUGGAGAAUAGUACCAAGUAUCAACCACAAAAGGUCCCAUAGCUAUUUUGCCAAUUGUCUUUACUUUGGUUAAUUCUUCGUGCUCCUUUAAGUAUUCUUCAUCCAUUCCUUCGUGUGCUAUGUCAUGAUAAUAUGGAAUCUCCCCAAUAAUUAUGUCAUCCUUUGCAACAGAAAUAUCUGAAGCUUUUAGUUUAGGUUUUGGAGGUUCAUUAGUCGAAGCAGAGGCUUCUGAAUUCUGGGUUUCAUGGUCGUGUUUUGGCUUGCUGUGAGAAAGAGGUAAGUAUUCAUUUGGAAUAACUCUCAAAGAUUCCCAUGUUAGCCAACAAUCCAACCUACGAUCUGUUCCUUCCCAGUGAAUAUAGUAGUCAUAGUUCAUUGCAGGAUUAGUAUUGCUU